UGGCUCAAUUGGUAGAGCAUGGCGCUUGCAACGCCAGGGUUGUGGGUUCGAUUCCCAU
rnacentral:tRNA from 1 species